CACUCACACUCACACACACACACACACACUCACACACACACACACUCACACACUCACACACACCGACGUACCUCAGUCAGCUGUAACAGCCUCAGCGGGAAACAUGUUACUCCUAAUCCUUUUAGUUGGAGGGGUUAUUUUCACAGACGGGACAAUCGGUACCUGAACUAGGAUUGCUGGGUGGAGUGGAUGUAAAGGACACGGUCUGGAGAAUUAUGAGGCAGCCUAUCAAAAAUGACUUGGCCAAAGCGGUGAACUGGAGAGGUGUAAAUGGGAAAACACUGUUCCAGACUUUGGAGCUAAAAAACAUUGUGAUUGAGGCUGUAAGAAGAAAUCCAGUGUGUGCACAGACAUCCGAGUGUCACAACACACAUGGAGACAGAGAGCAGAUCCAACAUGGCUUUUAAUAACCAAGGCAGGGGGAAAAAAGGCAAUACGACGAACGGAAAUAUCCAACUUGAAAUACUAGAGCAGUAACUCGGUACUUUCUCGUGAACAGUCUCAAUACUAGCCGCUGUGCUCUGCAGGUGAGGGCUUUAAGUAGGCGCCGUGUGAUUGGGUGCAGGUGGCGCGAUUAAAAGUCCGGUGAUUGAGAGCGCGGGGGUGCGGCUGAGGUGUAUGUGCCUGUGACAGUAUCCCCCCCCCCCCCACGGGCAUCUCCAGACGUCCGAGAGCGACGACGGAGGUGGCCGCGGCCUCUGGGAGCAGGUCGGUCUGGGUGGUGCUGAUGGAAGUUGGCGAGCAGUGCCGGAUCGAGGAUGUCAUCCCGGUCCACCCAUGAUCUUUCCUCGGGACCAUACCCCUCCCAGUCGACCAGAUAUUGUACACGGCCGCUGCGUCGUCUGGAGUUCAUUAUCUCUCGGACCUGGUAGAUCGUGUUGUCUGUGUCGAUCUGGGGCAGCGACGAGAUCUCGGACUCUGUAGGAGGAGGGAGAACAGGGUUAGUGUAUGGUUUCAGAAGAGACACAUGGAAGGUGGGUGAGAUUCGGUAGUGCGCAGGUAGGAUGAGUUCGUAGUACACAUCAUUUAUGCGCCUACGGAUGUUCAAGGGACCGAUAUAGCGGGGGCUGAGCAUUCUACAGGGCAGUUUGAGGCGGAUGUCCCGGGUGGAAAGCCAUACUCGGUCACCUGGAUGGUAGCACGGUGCUUCUUUGUGCCACGCAAUAGCGUGGCGCAGGUGGACAUGCGCCGAUCCCCAAACCCUCUCACUCUCUCGGAACCAGUGAUCGACCGAAGGUAUUUCAGCAGGUUCGCCAGACCACGGGAACAGAGGCGGCUGGUAGCCGAGUAUGCACUGAAAAGGGGUGAGUCCGGUGGUUUCUUGGCGGAGUGAGUUUUGUGCAUACUUGGCCCAGGGCAGGUAUUGGCUCCAAUCAUGCUGGCGUUCAUGGCAGUAUGCUCGGAGGUAGUGCCCAAUUUCCUGGAUUUUCCGUUCCGUUUGGCCGUUAGAUUGUGGGUGGUAACCAGAGGAUAAGCUUACGGAUGUACCCAGUUGUCCUAAGAAACCCCUCCAUAUCCUGGAGAUAAACUGGGGCCCUCUAUCUGACACAAUAUCUUCGGGAAUGCCGAAGUGUCUGAACACUUGGUGGAAGAGGGCUUUAGCUGUUUCCAGGGCAGUGGGUAGGCCCUUGAGGGGUAUGAGUUUACAAGCUUUAGAAAAUCGGUCUACCACGACGAGGAUGGUGGUGAAGCCUUCCGACGCGGGCAGGUUGGUGAUGAAGUCCACUCCCAGGUGGGACCAUGGUCGGUGGGGAAUAGGGAGUGGCAUGAGUUUCCCUUCCGGUAAGUGGCGGGGUGUGGAAAUCACGGCACAAACGGAACAACCUUUCACAAACUGGUUUACAUCCUUACUCAUAUUUGGCCACCAAUACCUGUUCUGGAGGAGUGAGAGGGUGCGUUGUCUGCCCGGAUGGCCGGAGUCUAGAGACGAGUGUACAGAGUCCAGGAGGUUAAGACGGAAGGGCGCUGGAAUGUAGGUUUUGCCUACUGGGCUCCCCGGCGGAGCGGGUUCAUUCGCGGAGGCGGCACGGAUUUCCUCGUCGACGGCCCAGAGGAUGGGGCAGACGAACAGAUCUGGAGGUAGUACCGGUUCACAUGCAUUGGAUUGAGGGUCUGGUGAAUACAUUCUGGAUAGGGCGUUGGCUUUUGUGUUCUUAAAACCGGGACGAUAGGAGACUGUGAAUCGGAACCUCGUGAAGAACAGCGCCCAGCGCGCUUGUCGUGGGUUUAAGCGUUUGGCUUCUUUGAGGUAUUGUAGAUUUUUGUGAUCAGUGAUGACUUCAAAGGGAUGGACAGCCCCCUCCAGCCAGUGCUGCCAUUCCUCCAGUGCCAACUUGAUUGCUAACAGCUCACGGUUUCCAAUGUCAUAGUUACGCUCCGCCGGGGUUAGUUUCCUUGAAUAGAAGACGCAUGGGUGGAGUGCCAGAGGCUCACCUCCUCGUUGUGACAGCACCGCUCCUACUCCUAGCGCAGAGGCAUCUAUCUCGACUACAAAGGGCUGGCUAGGAUCAGGAUGCAGUAAUGUAGGAGCGGAACAAAAGGCGUCUUUUAGCUGUUGGAAGGCUUCGACCGCUAAUUUUGACCAGGUGAGUGUCUUAGGCUGUCCACCUAAUAAUGAAGUGAGGGGAGCAGUGAUUUGGCUGUAGUUGUGGAUGAAGCGGCGGUAGAAAUUCGCAAACCCCAGAAACCGUUGCAGCUCCUUGACUGUCUCUGGCUGCGGCCAGUUCAUCACUGCGUCUAUUUUAGCCUGGUCCAUCUUAAUACCCGCAGUGGAGAUGAUGUAACCCAGAAACUGCACGACCGUUUGGUGGAACUCGCACUUUUCAAGUUUGAGGAAAAGGUGGUGACGGCGCAGGCGGUCGAGUACCUGACGGACAUGGUGGAUGUGCUUCGAAUGGUUGGAAGAGUAGAUUAAGAUGUCAUCAAUGUAUACGAUGACGAACCGGUGGAGCAUAUCACGGAAGAUUUCGUUCAUGAAGUUUUGGAAUACCGCUGGGACAUUUGUGAGCCCAUAUCACAUGACCCGGAACUCGUAGUGCCCAGAAGUUGUGAUGAACGCCGUCUUCCACUCAUCUCCCUGACGAAUGAGGAUGAGGUUAUAUGUGCUUCUCAGGUCCAGCUUGGUGAAGAUGCGAGCUCCACGUAACUCCUCGAGAGCAGCUGGUACUAGCGGCAAGGGGUAGGCGAAUUUCACCGUUUGGGUAUUAAGAUUCUGGUAAUCGAUACACGGUCGAAGCCCGCCAUCCUUUUUUGCCACAAAGAAGAAGCUGGAUGCCGCCGGGGAGGUAGAAGGGCGUAUGAACCCCUGGCGGAGUGCCUCUUUGAUAUAUUCUUCCAUGGCCUUGUGCUCUGGGACAGACAGGGGAUAGAUACGCCCUUUGGGCAUCUUAGCGUUGGGCAGAAGGUCCACAGCACAAUCUCAGGAUUGAUGUGGUGGGAGCUUUGUAGCGGCGACUUUGCUAAACACCUCCGUGUAAUCCUGAUACUCUCCUGGGAGGUCCACCUCACGGCCAGUAGGGGGCUCUUGAUGUUCGUCGACCCCAGGAGAACAGAUCUAGGCGGAGGGCGCGGGAGUGCGCGUAAGCACGAGCUGAGGCAAUGAUCGCUCCACUGUUCAAUGCACCCUGUGCUCCACCGAAUCGUGGGUUGAUGUUGCGCCAGCCAUGGGUGUCCUAGAACAACGUCCACCCUGGCCUCCUCCAACACCAACAGCGAGAGCACCUCCUCAUGCAUAUAGCCGAUGUGCAGCGUCAAUUCCGGCAUCCGCCACUGCACCAGUCCUCGACCCAGCGGUUUUCCUUGGAUAGUUGUGAUGCAAUAGCGCCUUGGGUUCCUUUGUCGUGGGAUAUAGCAUGCAGAGAGGAUGCGAGUGGAGAUAAAAUUCCCUGAUGCGCCCGAGUCAAAGAGCACGCUGACAGAAUAAGAGUGAGAGUCAAACAUUAAUGUGGCAUCAUGAUACCAAGGAUUAGAGAGUACUGAGCUGAGGUGGAUAGUACUCACCGCUGGGUGGACCAGACGGACGGGACAGGUAGAAAUAGAAUGACCAGAUUCUCCGCAGUAGAGGUAGAGCCCAUGCUGAAGCCGGCGCUGCCAUUCGUCCAUGGAUAGAUGGUACACGUCCGUUUGCAUAGGCUCUGGUGCGGAGAACUCCUCACUGGGUGAAGCCUCGGAACGGUGGUUCCCUCCACCCGGAACUGCGACGAGAUGUUGGGCCACUGUCUGAGCCUUCAACAGGAAGGCCUCCAGGCUGCUGGAGUCUUCAUAUAUGGCCAUCUGCCGUCGGAUCUCGGGCUGUAACCCCUGCCGGUACGCCGCGAGAAGAGCCGUCUCAUUCCAUCCGCUAGAUGCCGCCAGCAUGCGGAAGCGCAGCGUAUACUCGCGGACGGUGUUUCUACCCUGCCGUAGAGUGAACAGCUCGUCAUGUGUCGAGAGGGUGGAAGCGCCUGCACCGAAAACCGCCUUGAAGUGGGCCAGAAAGUUCGUUAUGGACGCGAACACUGGGCUCUCCGAUGUCCACAAGGCCUCUGCCAAGCGUCGGGCCUCACCAGGACAACAGCAACAGGAUAAAGGCUAUUUUAGCGUGGUCAUCGGGGAACAACUGAGGGGCCAGUUCAAAAUAGAGCUGGCAUUGCAUAAUGAAACCGACACAUUCGGCCGCGCCGCCCGAGAAUAAUGCUGGUUUGGCUACCGGACAGGUUGGUGGUGUCGCCACGGACAGUACCGAUUGCUGUAGUGAGGCCGCCAGAGCAAUGAUAGGGUCCGGUGGGGAAGGCGGUUCAGCUGUCGGCUGUUGCGGAACCGGGGCGGCAGAUGGGUCGGUUUGCGGCUGAGCUGCUGUAGGGGGUGUGCCGACAUGCUGACCUUCCAUCUUCCUGGUAAGAUCUCGUAGUUCGCUGUUUGUAGGGCUAGUAUUCUGUCACAAAACACAUGGAGACAGAGAGCAGAUCCAACACGGCUUUUAAUAACCAAGGCAGGGGGAAAAAGGCAAUACGAGGAACGGAAAUAUCCAACUCGAAAUACUAGAGCAGUAACUCGGUACUUUCUCGUGAACAGUCUCAAUACUAGCUGCUGUGCUCUGCAGGUGAGGGCUUUAAGUAGGCGCCGUGUGAUUGGGUGCAGGUGGCGCGAUUAAAAGUCCGGUGAUUGGGAGCGCGGGGGUGUGGCUGAGGUGUAUGUGCCUGUGACACUGAGCUUGUGGUCAAAAGAUUUAUUAAAAGUUUGUUUCAUCUGGCUGGUGACCGUGAGGGUGGCAGAAAAAGAACACCUUUAACAUUUUAAUUUAUUGCUUGGUUUCUGUAGUCUUUGGUAGUUUUGUUUUUUUAAAUAUUUGUUGUUAUUUUACUGGUUUCUUAGCUUUUUUCCACUGUUUAUUUUUCAUGUUGAGACCCCCCCCCUUUCUGCAUCAAUAAAACAUUCUGCUUUGCAUUUGUAUAGUUUCAUUCUUUUAUAAUACCUUGCAUCAUAAAUAUUAUACGGGUAAUUUCUGGUUCAGUUCUGGGCAUUCUGGCAAAAUAUUGGUCCAGUUCUGGCUGUUUUGUGGACCUUCUGGAUAAUUUGUUAGUUUUGGGUUAAAGUUGGUGGCAUUUUGGCUCUUGUCUGGCUGACACGUGUGGAUUCUGGCACUGUUGUAGGUCAGUUAUGGCUGAUUUCUGGUGACACUGUGGAGUUUUGGCUGAGUUUUGGUCUGUUUCUGGUAUUGGUCUGGUUGACUUUUGGCAAACAGCUUUUGGGCCAGCUUUGGGCCGUAAUUCCAUAUGGUAUCUGGGUCAAACUUAAAGCCAAAACUCAGCCAGACUCAGCCCAGAGUCAAUUUGCUAUCUGGGUUUGCAUUCAGGUGAUUGGACUUUUUUUCAGUUACUUAUUUAAGGUAAUGAAAUACAAUUACUCAAAUAUUUUCCUUAUUUUAUUAAGCAACUAUUAAAAAAAAUACUAGCAGGUUCCCCAAGAAAUGUCCAUGACAAUAUGUGCGUGUGUGUGU